rnacentral:rRNA from 1 species
GACGAACGCUGGCGGCGUGCUUAACACAUGCAAGUCGAACGGAAAGGCCCUGCUUUUGUGGGGUGCUCGAGUGGCGAACGGGUGAGUAGCACGUGAGUAACCUGCCCUUGACUUUGGGAUAACUUCAGGAAACUGGGGCUAAUACCGGAUAGGAGCUCCUGGUGCAUGGUGGGGGUUGGAAAGUUUCGGCGGUUGGGGAUGGACUCGCGGCUUAUCAGCUUGUUGGUGGGGUAGUGGCUUACCAAGGCUUUGACGGGUAGCCGGCCUGAGAGGGUGACCGGCCACAUUGGGACUGAGAUACGGCCCAGACUCCUACGGGAGGCAGCAGUGGGGAAUAUUGCACAAUGGGCGGAAGCCUGAUGCAGCAACGCCGCGUGCGGGAUGACGGCCUUCGGGUUGUAAGCCGCUUUCGCCUGUGACGAAGCGUGAGUGACGGUAAUGGGUAAAGAAGCACCGGCUAACUACGUG